rfam:Basidiobolus meristosporus CBS 931.73 K493scaffold_691, whole genome shotgun sequence.
GCCCGAAUAGCUCAGUCGGUAGAGCAUGAGACUUUUAAUCUUAGGGUCGGGGGUUCGAGCCCCCCUUUGGGCG